CAGCCGCCGCGGUAAUACGUAGGGUGCGAGCGUUAAUCGGAAUUACUGGGCGUAAAGCGUGCGCAGGCGGUUCGUUAAGACAGAUGUGAAAUCCCCGGGCUUAACCUGGGAACUGCAUUUGUGACUGGCGAGCUAGAGUAUGGCAGAGGGGGGUAGGAUUCCACGUGUAGCAGCGAAAUGCGUAGAGAUGUGGAGGAAUACCGAUGGCGAAGGCAGCCCCCUGGGCCAAUACUGACGCUCAUGCAGGAAAGCGUGGGGAGCAAACAGGAUUAGAUACCCCGGUAGUCCCUGUCUCUUAUAC
rnacentral:rRNA from 1 species